rnacentral:misc_RNA from 1 species
CCAAACUUGGUCAUUUAGAGGAAGUAAAAGUCGUAACAAGGUCUCCGUUGGUGAACCAGCGGAGGGAUCAUUACAGAGUUUACGAUGAAAACUCCCAAACCCCUUGUGAACCUACUUUUUUUUUUGUUGCCUCGGCAGGCACUGAGGGCCUCCCGUUAAGGGGGGCCAGCCUGGCCUGCCGGCGGUCUACGACACGAAUUUUGCUUAGCACGUGGUUAUUCUGAUCAGUUAAGACAUAAUAUCUUAAAACUUUCAACAACGGAUCUCUUGGUUCUGGCAUCGAUGAAGAACGAAGC